GGAAUUAAAAUCCGUCGACUUUAAAAAUCGUGAGGGUUCAAGUCCCUCUAUCCCCA
rnacentral:tRNA from 1 species